rnacentral:rRNA from 1 species
UACAGAGGUCUCAAGCGUUGUUCGGAUUCAUUGGGCGUAAAGGGUGCGUAGGCGGCGCGGUAAGUCGGGUGUGAAAUCUCGGAGCUUAACUCCGAAACUGCAUUCGAUACUGCCGUGCUUGAGGACUGGAGAGGAGACUGGAAUUUACGGUGUAGCGGUGAAAUGCGUAGAGAUCCGGAGGAACACCAAAGGCGAAGGCAGUGUCCUGGGGAGUACCUGACGCUCAGGUGCGAAAGCCAGGGGAGCGAACGGG